rnacentral:rRNA from 1 species
GGUAAAAUACUUCUGGCGUGGAGCAUAGGCAGUCAGUUACGACGGGUGAGUAACGCGUGGAUGAUCUACCUAUGAGAUGGGGAUAAUAGGGAAAUAGUAGCUAAUACCGAAUAAGGUCAGUUAAUUUGUUAAAUGAUGAAAGGAAGCCUUUAAAGCUUCGCUUGUAGAUGAGUCUGCGUCUUAUUAGCUAGUUGGUAGGGUAAAUGCCUACCAAGGCAAUGAUAAGUAACCGGCCUGAGAGGGUGAACGGUCACACUGGAACUGAGAUACGGUCCAGACUCCUACGGGAGGCAGCAGCUAAGAAUCUUCCGCAAUGGGCGAAAGCCUGACGGAGCGACACUGCGUGAAUGAAGAAGGUCGAAAGAUUGUAAAAUUCUUUUAUAAAUGAGGAAUAAGCUUUGUAGGAAAUGACAAAGUGAUGACGUUAAUUUAUGAAUAAGCCCCGGCUAAUUACGUGCCAGCAGCCGCGGUAAUACGUAAGGGGCGAGCGUUGUUCGGGAUUAUUGGGCGUAAAGGGUGAGUAGGCGGAUAUAUAAGUCUAUGCAUAAAAUACCACAGCUCAACUGUGGACCUAUGUUGGAAACUAUAUGUCUAGAGUCUGAUAGAGGAAGUUAGAAUUUCUGGUGUAAGGGUGGAAUCUGUUGAUAUCAGAAAGAAUACCGGAGGCGAAGGCGAACUUCUGGGUCAAGACUGACGCUGAGUCACGAAAGCGUAGGGAGCAAACAGGAUUAGAUACCCUGGUAGUCUACGCUGUAAACGAUGCACACUUGGUGUUAACUAAAAGUUAGUACCGAAGCUAACGUGUUAAGUGUGCCGCCUGGGGAGUAUGCUCGCAAGAGUGAAACUCAAAGGGAUUGACGGGGGCCCGCACAAGCGGUGGAGCAUGUGGUUUAAUUCGAUGAUACGCGAGGAACCUUACCAGGGCUUGACAUAUAUAGGAUAUAGUUAGAGAUAAUUAUUCCCCGUUUGGGGUCUAUAUACAGGUGCUGCAUGGUUGUCGUCAGCUCGUGCUGUGAGGUGUUGGGUUAAGUCCCGCUCUGGCAGUGCGUCUUAAGCAGUCCGUGCAUCUGGGAUACUGGG